rnacentral:rRNA from 1 species
UACGUAGGGGGCAAGCGUUGUCCGGAAUUAUUGGGCGUAAAGAGCUCGUAGGCGGUUUGUCGCGUCGGCUGUGAAAUCCCGAGGCUCAACCUCGGGCCUGCAGUCGAUACGGGCAAACUAGAGUGUGGUAGGGGAGACUGGAAUUCCUGGUGUAGCGGUGAAAUGCGCAGAUAUCAGGAGGAACACCGGCGGCGAAGGCGGGUCUCUGGGCCAUAACUGACGCUGAGGAGCGAAAGCGUGGGGAGCGAACAGG